rnacentral:rRNA from 1 species
ACUAUGCUUGGCCCUAAACCUCAGUAAUUAAAUAACAAAACUACUCGCCAGAAUACUACAAGCAACAGCUUAAAACUCAAAGGACUUGACGGUGCUUUACACCCCCUAGAGGAGCCUGUUCCAUAAUCGAUAAACCCCGAUCCACCCCACCCUCUCUUGCUUAGCCUAUAUACCGCCAUCUUCAGCAAACCCUGAUGAAGGUCACAAAGUGAGCGCAAACGCCACCACCGCGAAGACGUUAGGUCAAGGUGUAGCCUAUGAGACGGUAAAAAAUGGGCUACAUUUUCUAUCUCAGAAAACUCUACGAAAACCCCUAUGAAACCUGGGGGUCCAAGGAGGAUUUAGUAGUAAAUUAAGAAUAGAGUGCUUAAUUGAACCAGGCCAUAAAGCGCGCACACACCGCCCGUCACUCCUCUCAAAUAUAUUUAAGGAACAUCUUAACUAAACGCCCUAAUAUUUAUAUAGAGAGGAUAAGUCGUAACAUGGUAAGCGUACUGGAAGGUGCGCUUGGAUAAAU